AGGGUUCGAUUCUGGCUCAGGAUGAACGCUAGCGGCAGGCUUAACACAUGCAAGUCGAGGGGCAGCGGGAUGUAGCAAUACAUUGCCGGCGACUGGCGGAUGGGUGCGUAACGCGUAUGCAACCUACCUUAUACAGGGGAAUAACCUUUCGAAAGGGAGACUAACACCCCAUAGUAUUGAUUUAAGGCAUCUUAGAUUAAUUAAAUAUUUAUAGGUAUAAGAUGGGCAUGCGUAUGAUUAGCUAGUUGGUAAGGUAACGGCUUACCAAGGCGACGAUCAUUAGGGGUUCUGAGAGGAAGGUCCCCCACACUGGUACUGAGACACGGACCAGACUCCUACGGGAGGCAGCAGUGAGGAAUAUUGGUCAAUGGGCGCAAGCCUGAACCAGCCAUGCCGCGUGCAGGAAGACGGCCUUAUGGGUUGUAAACUGCUUUUACAUAAGACUAACCGUAUAUUUGCGAAUAUACCUGAAUGUAUUAUGAGAAUAAGGAUCGGCUAACUCCGUGCCAGCCGCCGC
rnacentral:rRNA from 1 species